rnacentral:lncRNA from 8 species
AUGGUUUACAUGAAUGAGAAGGGAUUAACAUGGCGUCCGAACUUUCUCUACUUUUUUCAACGUUUUAGAUCCAAUUUGUUAAGUUUUUCUAUGAACAAAGGAUGUAUGGUGACUCCACGUUUGGAAGAACGGACCAAUGGGACUGCCAUGGGAAAGUCCCUUGACAGGUACCGGGAAAGGUGGAAGGAUAAUCUGAAGGUAAUUAUCUUUGCACACAACAAAGCAGUGUCCAGGCCUCCAGAGUAUUAACUCUAUAGCCUGCUGUAUGGAGGGGAACCACAGCUGUUUACUGACGUAAACAAUGCAAUUGUGUAUAUAACAUUAUUGCAUAUGCUGUAGAAUAAAAAAAAUGUUUGCUUGACUUGGUGUUUUUCCUAUUGCUGUUUUUGUAUAAUGUAUUUUGAGGUCACUGAUACUCCACCUGAUAUGGUAGAAGUUGUCGAACCAGAUCUGAACGCCUUCAAAGACCACCUUCAGGCACGGACUGAGAAGGAUCUGGAGGUUUUUGACCAGGUUAAAAUGAUUGUCCACUGUUCAUUUAUUUUCUGGCCUUCCAAGAGAUAUGAGAUGUAUUUGUAAUAAUAUGAAAUAUAAUUGCAUUUAUUUCUAUCAAUCAAGGUGAGACUGAACAUGGACAGGGCACAAGUGCUUCGAAAUCGGGCGAAUGACUUGGCUUGGAAGGAGGACAAAAGGAAGGCAAGACCCGGGAAAGCUUGGUGCCCCUAGCUGGGGUCACUAUCUGUUAAGGCAGGGGUCAACAACAUUUUUGAAACUGAGCUACUUCAUGGGUACUGAGUCAUACGAAGGGCUACCAGUUUGAUACGCUCUUCUGAAAUAACACAUUUGCUCAGUUUGCCUUUAGUUAUACGUUAUUAAUAAUGAUACUCAUCUAUGUGAAGACACUGAUCACGUUAAUAAUUUCUCACAAUAAUUAUCAACAAUGACAUUAAGGUGGGAAACAGAUCAAUAUUCAGCACUUUAAUCUCAGUAAUUGUUACAUUUUCAGAUGAUCACUUACAUCACUACAUUUCAUAGGAAAAAUGUCCCAUUUUCACUAGCCACUGACAAACCCUUUUAACAAAUCAUGAACUAUGUCUUAAAGUUAUCAAUUAUGUAAUGUUAGAAAAGUCAACUUAUUUUUAAAUAAAUCUUGUCACAUUUUGAACUAAUGACCAAAUCUGCUGCAUUUUUUUAAACACACUUUUAAAUUGAACACAAUUCUUCAAUAUUUUAAUUCAACUUCGCCAUGGCACUGCCAUGUUGCCACUGACAUCUGGUAUCAGUUUCUUUGUUAGUGGGAAGACUGGCAUUGCAUGCUGUUCACCAGUGUAUUGUAAUCUGGUGUGUAACUUGACACUGCAAUUGUGAGUGAGUCUUUCAGAUGUGCAUCAGUGAGGCGUGUUCUGUGUUUGUUCUUGAUGAAGUUCAUGUCAGAAAACGCUGAUUCACAGAGAUGGGUUGAACCAAACAGGCUAGCAACCUUCAUAGCUGCUGUGCAUACUCCACUGUACUUCUGUGUCAACAAGGCACCAAAAGUUUGGUGCAGCCUGGUAGGCUUUGAGGUGGAGGUCAUUUUGCAAUGUUAUGAUUUCAAUCUCCACCUGUCCAGCAUCCAAGUUGAACGUUGCACUUAGUUGCUCAGCAAAGAACGUUGUGUCCACAUUCAUGAAAGGAUUGGAAAUGAACGACACACAUGGCUCAAGCUGAUGAAGGUCACAAAACCUAUUCUCAAACUCUUGCCCAAGUCUGUUUAUGACUUCACAGUACUUUUCUGCAACUUUGUCAAACGUCUCAGAUGCAGAAGCAUUGUCUUUCAGCACCGACUGCACAGAGGGAAAGUGCAGCACCUUUUUUUUCCUGUAAAUCCACAGAGAAAAUGUUCAUCUUGGCUUUAAAUGCAUUUAAAGCACUUAUCAGAUCAACAACAGUCUUACCUUUGCCUUGCAGUUCAAGUCGUUUAGUUUCCCAGUAAUGUCUGUCAAAAAUGGAAGGUCAAGUGUCCACUCUGUGUCCUCUAGCAGUGAGACGUCUUCGCCUUUGGACUGCUUGAACUCUUUGAUUUCACCCAAAAGUGACAAAAUACGAAGUAAAACUCGCCCUCUGCUGAGCCAUCGGAUUUCUGUGUGUAGCAGCAGGUCACCAUAUUCAGCUGACAUCUCCAAUAGCACCUUGAAAUCCUGUGCUGUUUUGCUUUGGAGCGGAUGUUGUUUAUGAUUUUUACAACGGGAGUCAUCACGUGCUCAAAGCCGAUCACUUUUGUUUCAUUCGCUGCGCCCGCUAGCUUAUUCUCCACGAGCACUGUUUUUUUUCACGCGCACAAUACUGACCUUUGAACUAGAGUAGGUCAGAGUUCACCUAAACUCAUGUAUAAUGAAAAUAUUAAGAUAUUGUCAUUUUUAAAU